rnacentral:lncRNA from 1 species
CUUCUCGAGGGGACUCUGCUGCGAAAGUACAAUUCCGGCCCUUUUUAAAUCCCAGGUAUGGGGAUAUCUCCUCGUUUCAAUGUCCUUUUAUUAUUUUUGUAAUUUAUAUGGCUGAAUUUUAUAUUAGAUUUACAGAGAUUGUUUUCACAUGCGAAUUGUGCAUAUGCCUCUGAAUUAUGGUAAAUUAUAUGUGACUUGAGAAGAGCUUUUGAAGCCCCUUCCGAGGCUUUGCUUUCGUCUAUGGCCUGUGCCUCAGAUGGGUAUUAUUUAUUUUUUGUGUUCGAAAAAUCGGAAGAGCGCCUGCCUAGGCGGCCUGGGCAGUUAUGGGCUGGUCGGGUCCUUUUUUUUUCCUGACUCUACUGAAAACCUACCUCACGCUGCCUCUCUCUCUCUCUCUCUCUCUCUCUCUCUCUCUCUGUGGCACGACAGACCACCACCACCAGGCCUCGACCAGCGACCCGCUCGGCCACCCGCGACCUGCGUCCUCCUCGCCCAUGUUUUAGAGGCCUAGCCUUUCAUUUCAAGUAUUUUUCUUUGUAGUUUAUUUUCUUGAAUUGUUAUUGCAUUUUGAGUCGGGGGUUCAUUUUGGUUUUCUGCUUUUUGCAUUUGGGGUGUUUCAUGUAUUAUCUUCUCAACAUAAAGUUAGAAACUUGCAUCAUUAAUUUUAGGGGCAAUAUAGAUAAUCUCUUUUAAUCCUUUUACUCAAGCAAGUGAUCAACAACAAUAUCAACUCGGUAGUAAUUGUAAAAAGGUUUUUAUUUUAUGUUUGGACUGCAAAGUUAACUUGAUGAUUCAAAGGUUUUUGACAUUUGUUUUCUGCCCUUCUUACAGUGGUGCUUUGAUGUUGACAGUUGGACACUUAACAGGAAAAUAACAAGGUCUCUAGCUGUCUUGUAAUAUAGAAUUCUUGUUCAUCUUCUUAUUUAUUUUCGAUGUUUUCCCCAUUUUUUGAAAGUUCAUAUUAAAUACCUCCUUGUGUUCUUGUGUUUUUGUUUUGACUUCAAGGAAGUCUAC